UCCACUGUUGCGUUUUUCAUACGUACGUACACGCACGUAAAACUUUAAAUCCGUUUAAAUGUUACUUAUGAAAUAACCAAAUAAAUAAAGCAACAGAAUUUAGUGUUCCGCAAGUUUUAGUAUGCAUUUGUUAACUUAUUUGUAAAAUAUUUAAAAAAAAUAGAAGGACUCAAAAUUUUACGUGCGUGUACGUGCGUACGAAAAACGCAACAGUGGA
rnacentral:miRNA from 1 species